UCACCAUGACGACAGUUUCACUACUGAUAUCGCCAUUGUGAUUAUCAUACUGCUACUAUAUCCUGCUUCGUUGCUGCUGUUCUUUGCCUCGUAUUUUUCACAACUUCGUCUGGAAACACUAUGAGCUCAUACUCUCAAGGAAGAAGAUCUGAAGCCUGUCUCUCCCCGUGCUGGUGAUGUUGCACUGAGCAGCCUUUGUCUCCAUCUGAUGUGUAUCGCGUCUGUUAUAAACAAGUACCAGUGAAAUGUUGUAAUAAAAUCCUACUCUGAACGUGAA